UCAGUACCGUUUUUCUAGAUUCCAUAUAUAUCUGUUAAUAUACAAUAUUUGUUUUUCUCUUUCUGACUUACUUUGCUCUGUAUGACAGACUCUCAGUUCAUCCUUCUCACUACAACUGACUCAAUUUUGUUCCUUUUUAUAGCUACUCAUUUUCCUUAUAUUCUUUCUCUAACAUUAUGCAUCCUAAAAGUGGCUCCUACCAGUGACUCUGCUACAAUACUAUAUUUAUAAAAUACAACAGUGAGGUUAAAAAUACAAACUUUAUAUCAGUUUCUUCAUCAGUCUGUAGUGAACGACUAAGGAAUGGACAGUUCAACUGGUAUAAUAUCCAAAUGUGCCAAGCUACUUCAUAUCUCUUCCUGGAAUGCGCUUCUUCACUUGUCAGUUGUUGGUGUUUAGGAAGGUAAAUUGGAGAAGGGAAUAAAAACUAUGUAAAGAUACAUAUUAUCUUGCAGGUACAUAUUUUAAAUGCUUUGGUAAUAUAAAUGAUUAGACGUUUGGUUUUCUCCAUCUUUGUAUCUAUUGCUCCGGGCAUACCGUAUACUCAGUUGUUUAUUGAAUUAAUGAAUAUGUUAAUUUUAAACAGUCUAUCAUUUAUUUUGUGGUGGAGUACACAGAUUAGUGGAUAUCACUCUCUUCAAAAGAUUGAUACACUUGUUUUAUGCUGUCACCAAGUACUUCAGUUGCAUCAAAUUUGUAGAUUGUCAUUGCUCUUAUGAAAAUUAGAUUCUGCUAAUAAAGUAUUUAACAAAAGAAUAAAAUUUUAAAACAAAUCACAGUCAGAUGCAAGUGUCAGCUAUAGCUGUAGUGGCGACCAGAUGGCACAAAUUAGUACAGUGCAAGGAGAGCUUGUUUACAAAAGGGCUGCUCACUAAGGGGAUAGAAGGGGAAUUCAGGGAUACCAGCAGCCAAGCUGCCACCACAUAUAGGUCCAAACAGAUGACCAGAGGAGAGAGAGGUAUCUAGGACCAAGUAAGAGUCAUAUAAAAUGACAUACUCGGAGAGAAGCAAUGACUUAAAAUUGCAUGACACAGCCGGCAUUAGGCAACCCUCAAGGAGAGGCCAAGGGAAUAAAUAUGAUCUGCCACGGCUCUCCAUGGGCCAAACCCAACCAGAAAGCAGAAGGCUAGGAGCUUUGUUGAUGUGUCCACUCAGUUCAGCCUUCCGGGGCAGGCAACAAGGCGGAGAAGGGUAGAAAGUGGACCUGGUGGGCUAAAAGAAAACAUUCAG
ensembl:lncRNA